GGUGACCGUAAAAGGAGCUGCCUAGGGUAAAACUAGUAACUAGGGCUAAGUCGUAACAAGGUAGCCGUACCGGAAGGUGCGGCUGGAACAUCCCAUU
rnacentral:rRNA from 1 species